GUCCCCGUAGCUCAGUGGACCAGAGCGGCUGCCUUCUAAGCAGCGGGUCGCAGGUUCGAAUCCUGCCGGGGACG
rnacentral:tRNA from 2 species